UUUGUUGAAAGAUUUAUUGGUUUUGGAUGGACUCGCGGCCUAUCAGCUUGUUGGUGAGGUAAUGGCUCACCAAGGCGACGACGGGUAGCCGGCCUGAGAGGGUGACCGGCCACACUGGGACUGAGACACGGCCCAGACUCCUACGGGAGGCAGCAGUGGGGAAUAUUGCACAAUGGGCGAAAGCCUGAUGCAGCGACGCCGCGUGAGGGAUGACGGCCUUCGGGUUGUAAACCUCUUUCAGUAGGGAACAAGGCCAGCAUUUUUGUUGGUUGAGGGUACUUGCAGAAGAAGCGCCGGCUAACUACGUGCCAGCAGCCGCGGUAAUACGUAGGGCGCAAGCGUUAUCCGGAAUUAUUGGGCGUAAAGAGCUCGUAGGCGGUUUGUCGCGUCUGCCGUGAAAGUCCGGGGCUCAACUCCGGAUCUGCGGUGGGUACGGGCAGACUAGAGUGAUGUAGGGGAGACUGGAAUUCCUGGUGUAGCGGUGAAAUGCGCAGAUAUCAGGAGGAACACCGAUGGCGAAGGCAGGUCUCUGGGCAUUAACUGACGCUGAGGAGCGAAAGCAUGGGGAGCGAACAGGAUUAGAUACCCUGGUAGUCCAUGCCGUAAACGUUGGGCACUAGGUGUGGGGGACAUUCCACGUUUUCCGCGCCGUAGCUAACGCAUUAAGUGCCCCGCCUGGGGAGUACGGCCGCAAGGCUAAAACUCAAAGGAAUUGACGGGGGCCCGCACAAGCGGCGGAGCAUGCGGAUUAAUUCGAUGCAACGCGAAGAACCUUACCAAGGCUUGACAUGAACUGGAAAUACCUGGAAACAGGUGCCCCGCUUGCGGUCGGUUUACAGGUGGUGCAUGGUUGUCGUCAGCUCGUGUCGUGAGAUGUUGGGUUAAGUCCCGCAACGAGCGCAACCCUCGUUCUAUGUUGCCAGCACGUUAUGGUGGGGACUCAUAGGAGACUGCCGGGGUCAACUCGGAGGAAGGUGAGGACGACGUCAAAUCAUCAUGCCCCUUAUGUCUUGGGCUUCACGCAUGCUACAAUGGCCGGUACAAUGGGUUGCGAUACUGUGAGGUGGAGCUAAUCCCAAAAAGCCGGUCUCAGUUCGGAUUGGGGUCUGCAACUCGACCCCAUGAAGUCGGAGUCGCUAGUAAUCGCAGAUCAGCAACGCUGCGGUGAAUACGUUCCCGGGCCUUGUACACACCGCCCGUCAAGUCACGAAAGUUGGUAACACCCGAAGCCGGUGGCCU
rnacentral:rRNA from 1 species